AAACAACUCAAGCUUGGCUUGGUAUUGGGGUCCGCGGUCUCGCGGCCCUUAAAAUCAGUGGCGGUGCCGUCUGGCUCUAAGCGUAGUAAUGCUCUCGCUAUAGGGUCCGUUCGGUGGCUGCCAGAACCCCUAACUUCUAAGU
rnacentral:misc_RNA from 1 species